UGCCAUGUGUUGCAUAAUUUUAACUAGACAUACAUCAUAUUAGACUGUGCAUCAUAUCGUGCAUGUGCCGUGGUGAAUAUCUUGUGUUGAUUUUGUUUCCGGUUUGCUUCGUCUCGAUAGAGUUCCGCAAGCGUGUCAGAAUGUGAGGAUCCGUUCGACUACGUCGGUUCGUCUCCUUCGUGGAGUCAUUCUUCUUCCAAGCGGGAUCUCAGGCAAGAUGAUCAUUUCCCUAGAUACCAUUACUAUCAUUGCUAUGCUAGUUGUUUCGUUGCUAUCGUUAUGUCUCGCUGCCUAGCACCUGUUUAAUACCAGCCUCCCAACA
rnacentral:lncRNA from 1 species